UACGUAGGGUGCAAGCGUUGUCCGGAAUUAUUGGGCGUAAAGAGCUCGUAGGCGGUCUGUUACGUCGGCUGUGAAAACCUGGGGCUCAACCCCGGGCCUGCAGCCGAUACGGGCAGACUAGAAUUCGGUAGGGGAGACUGGAAUUCCUGGUGUAGCGGUGAAAUGCGCAGAUAUCAGGAGGAACACCGGUGGCGAAGGCGGGUCUCUGGGCCGAUAUUGACGCUGAUGAGCGAAAGCGUGGGGAGCGAACAGG
rnacentral:rRNA from 1 species